rnacentral:rRNA from 1 species
UGGGGAAUUUGGGACAAUGGGGGAAACCCUGAUCCAGCCAUCCCGCGUGUGCGAUGAAGGCCUUCGGGUUGUAAAGCACUUUUGGCAGGAAAGAAACGUCAUGGGUUAAUACCCCGUGAAACUGACGGUACCUGCAGAAUAAGCACCGGCUAACUACGUGCCAGCAGCCGCGGUAAUACGUAGGGUGCAAGCGUUAAUCGGAAUUACUGGGCGUAAAGCGUGCGCAGGCGGUUCGGAAAGAAAGAUGUGAAAUCCCAGAGCUCAACUUUGGAACUGCAUUUUUAACUACCGGGCUAGAGUGUGUCAGAGGGAGGUGGAAUUCCGCGUGUAGCAGUGAAAUGCGUAGAUAUGCGGAGGAACACCGAUGGCGAAGGCAGCCUCCUGGGAUAACACUGACGCUCAUGCACGAAAGCGUGGGGAGCAAACAGG